GGAAUCUGGGAGGACCAUCUCCUAAGGCUAAAUACUCUCUAGUGACCGAUAGUGAACCAGUACCGUGAGGGAAAGGUGAAAAGCACCCCGGAAGGGGAGUGAAACAGAACCUGAAACCGUGUGCUUACAAGUAGUCAGAGCCCGUUAAUGGGUGAUGGCGUGCCUUUUGUAGAAUGAUCCGGCGAGUUACGAUUUGAUGCAAGGUUAAGCAGUAAAUGUGGAGCCGUAGCGAAAGCGAGUCUGAAUAGGGCGUUUAGUAUUUGGUCGUAGACCCGAAACCAGGUGAUCUACCCUUGGUCAGGUUGAAGUUCAGGUAACACUGAAUGGAGGACCGAACCGACUUACGUUGAAAAGUGAGCGGAUGAACUGAGGGUAGCGGAGAAAUUCCAAUCGAACCUGGAGAUAGCUGGUUCUCUCCGAAAUAGCUUUAGGGCUAGCCUCAAGUGAUGAUUAUUGGAGGUAGAGCACUGUUUGGACGAGGGGCCCCUCUCGGGUUACCGAAUUCAGACAAACUCCGAAUGCCAAUUAAUUUAACUUGGGAGUCAGAACAUGGGUGAUAAGGUCCGUGUUCGAAAGGGAAACAGCCCAGACCACCAGCUAAGGUCCCAAAAUAUAUGUUAAGUGGAAAAGGAUGUGGCGUUGCCCAGACAACUAGGAUGUUGGCUUAGAAGCAGCCAUCAUUUAAAGAGUGCGUAAUAGCUCACUAGUCGAGUGACACUGCGCCGAAAAUGUACCGGGGCUAAACAUAUUACCGAAGCUGUGGAUUGUCCUUUGGACAAUGGUAGGAGAGCGUUCUAAGGGCGUUGAAGCAUGAUCGUAAGGACAUGUGGAGCGCUUAGAAGUGAGAAUGCCGGUGUGAGUAGCGAAAGACGGGUGAGAAUCCCGUCCACCGAUUGACUAAGGUUUCCAGAGGAAGGCUCGUCCGCUCUGGGUUAGUCGGGUCCUAAGCUGAGGCCGACAGGCGUAGGCGAUGGAUAACAGGUUGAUAUUCCUGUACCACCUAUAAUCGUUUUAAUCGAUGGGGGGACGCAGUAGGAUAGGCGAAGCGUGCGAUUGGAUUGCACGUCUAAGCAGUAAGGCUGAGUAUUAGGCAAAUCCGGUACUCGUUAAGGCUGAGCUGUGAUGGGGAGAAGACAUUGUGUCUUCGAGUCGUUGAUUUCACACUGCCGAGAAAAGCCUCUAGAUAGAAAAUAGGUGCCCGUACCGCAAACCGACACAGGUAGUCAAGAUGAGAAUUCUAAGGUGAGCGAGCGAACUCUCGUUAAGGAACUCGGCAAAAUGACCCCGUAACUUCGGGAGAAGGGGUGCUCUUUAGGGUUAACGCCCAGAAGAGCCGCAGUGAAUAGGCCCAAGCGACUGUUUAUCAAAAACACAGGUCUCUGCUAAACCGUAAGGUGAUGUAUAGGGGCUGACGCCUGCCCGGUGCUGGAAGGUUAAGAGGAGUGGUUAGCUUCUGCGAAGCUACGAAUCGAAGCCCCAGUAAACGGCGGCCGUAACUAUAACGGUCCUAAGGUAGCGAAAUUCCUUGUCGGGUAAGUUCCGACCCGCACGAAAGGCGUAACGAUUUGGGCACUGUCUCAACGAGAGACUCGGUGAAAUCAUAGUACCUGUGAAGAUGCAGGUUACCCGCGACAGGACGGAAAGACCCCGUGGAGCUUUACUGUAGCCUGAUAUUGAAAUUCGGCACAGCUUGUACAGGAUAGGUAGGAGCCUUUGAAACGUGAGCGCUAGCUUACGUGGAGGCGCUGGUGGGAUACUACCCUAGCUGUGUUGGCUUUCUAACCCGCACCACUUAUCGUGGUGGGAGACAGUGUCAGGCGGGCAGUUUGACUGGGGCGGUCGCCUCCUAAAAGGUAACGGAGGCGCUCAAAGGUUCCCUCAGAAUGGUUGGAAAUCAUUCAUAGAGUGUAAAGGCAUAAGGGAGCUUGACUGCGAGACCUACAAGUCGAGCAGGGUCGAAAGACGGACUUAGUGAUCCGGUGGUUCCGCAUGGAAGGGCCAUCGCUCAACGGAUAAAAGCUACCCCGGGGAUAACAGGCUUAUCUCCCCCAAGAGUUCACAUCGACGGGGAGGUUUGGCACCUCGAUGUCGGCUCAUCGCAUCCUGGGGCUGUAGUCGGUCCCAAGGGUUGGGCUGUUCGCCCAUUAAAGCGGUACGCGAGCUGGGUUCAGAACGUCGUGAGACAGUUCGGUCCCUAUCCGUCGUGGGCGUAGGAAAUUUGAGAGGAGCUGUCCUUAGUACGAGAGGACCGGGAUGGACAUACCUCUGGUGUACCAGUUGUCGUGCCAACGGCAUAGCUGGGUAGCUAUGUGUGGACGGGAUAAGUGCUGAAAGCAUCUAAGCAUGAAGCCCCCCUCAAGAUGAGAUUUCCCAACUUCGGUUAUAAGAUCCCUCAAAGAUGAUGAGGUUAAUAGGUUCGAGGUGGAAGCAUGGUGACAUGUGGAGCUGACGAAUACUAAUCGAUCGAAGACUUAAUCAA
rnacentral:rRNA from 1 species